rnacentral:rRNA from 1 species
AUGAAUGCCAAUCCAGCCGCGCCCAUCUUGCUCCUCCUGCUCCUUGUUGGAUGCCACGCCUUCUCCGCACACGGUGAUGACGCCGAGGGAUCGGGCGGCGGUCGCCGUGAGCUGGGCGACGGCGGCGGCAGCGGCAGCAAGGCUCAGGUCGCCGGGUUGUGCGUCGACAGCCCGUGCGACGCGGACCCCAACCGGACGUGCUUCUGCUGCACGAGGCUGGCCAACGAGCCCUGCUACGACACGCUGAGGCAGUGCUUCAGCGUCUGCCCCAACUGUAACUUCCCCGUCUGCCCGCCGGCGGCGGCCUCGGCGGGCCGGCGUACUCGGUUCGUGUUAGCUCCGGCGUCGGCGUGA